rnacentral:tRNA from 1 species
GUGGGUAUAGCUCAGCGGUAGAGCACAUGCUUAGCAUGCAUGAGGUCCUGGGUUCAAUCCCCAGUACCUCCA